GACGAACGCUGGCGGCGUGCUUAACACAUGCAAGUCGAACGGAAAGGCCCUGCUUUUGUGGGGGGCUCGAGUGGCGAACGGGUGAGUAACACGUGAGUAACCUGCCCUUGACUUUGGGAUAACUUCAGGAAACUGGGGCUAAUACCGGAUAGGAGCUCCUGCUGCAUGGUGGGGGUUGGAAAGUUUCGGCGGUUGGGGAUGGACUCGCGGCUGAUCAGCUUGUUGGUGGGGUAGUGGCUUACCAAGGCUUUGACGGGUAGCCGGCCUGAGAGGGUGACCGGCCACAUUGGGACUGAGAUACGGCCCAGACUCCUACGGGAGGCAGCAGUGGGGAAUAUUGCACAAUGGGCGGAAGCCUGAUGCAGCAACGCCGCGUGCGGGAUGACGGCCUUCGGGUUGUAAACCGCUUUCGCCUGUGACGAAGCGUGAGUGACGGUAAUGGGUAAAGAAGCACCGGCUAACUACGUG
rnacentral:rRNA from 1 species